rnacentral:tRNA from 1 species
GCCCUGGUAACUCAAUUGGCUAGAGUGUUGGACUUUUACUUCCGUUCAGAGAGAUCCAGAGGUUGCGGGUUCGACCCCCGCCUGGGGCG